UGAUCUAGUGGAACCAGUUUACCUGCAUUUCCUUGGACUUCCAUCCCUAGACUGACCCAGGCUGGGAAGCCACAAUGAGGACGGGGCUGGCAGAAAAAAACACGGCCCCCACAGGCCGAGGAGACAAACCUCAGACAGAAUCCUGCUGCCACAUCAGCUCCUGGACAGAUGCGCCGCCCUAGCUGCUCUUUAGCCCUGGAGGCGAAAGCAUCCACGGCCCAGCAGCAGGAAGGAAUGAGGGUCGGCUAGAAAGUGACCUGUCUGGAUCGCCCACCCCAGGCUGCCCACGCUCGCACUCUGCCCCUGGGGAGGAAGGAGAAGCCUCCAGCAUAAGGCUGCCAGGCAGGCGAGUGUGAGAGCAGACCCCAGGAUGUCUGAAGCUCCUUCAAUGCCAAUUACUGCAGAAAUAAUUCAGCGUGCUCACCCCCCCGCCUCUCAGCACACACUCUUUGGGGACGUUUUAAGUCUGACUGUACCUGCUGAGCAGCUGACAAAUGAAGCCUCUUGCUCGCUCUGCCUCCCUCCUUCCCGACUGCCGUCCCUCCACCCCUCUGCCCAGGCUCAUUGAUGGCGGGGAAACGGAGAGCUGGGUGUUCUCAUCCUGCACCCCUCCUCCCCGUGCAGGGCCUGCUCAGACCGGUGCCGUGUGCCCGCUGUCUGGGCUCUGCUUCCAGAUGAGGGGUGGCAGGGCUGGGUUCCCUGGAGUCCGUCCACCCCACAGGUCCUUACAGGCAGGAGCUGUGGCUUAUUCAGCUUUGGUUAGCUGUCAAGAAAUA